AGUUGGCGGAAGAGAUCGAGCUCACUGGCCGCCGGCUCGCUUUCUGCGUGGAGUUCUCGCGGUCUGGGUUUCGCUGUCUGCUCUCGGCCCGGAGUCCUUUUGUCGGCGUCCUGGGUGCCCUCUCUUGCCCAGCUGGGGCACAGCGAGGCGGCCCCUUCUCCCGACGACGUUCCAUGGAGUAGGGUCCCAGACCGUUGUCCCGAAGAGCGAGAUCGAGCUUGGCCCCCUCCCCCCCCUUCCCUCCCUCCUUCCUGCCGCCGCAACAUGGCUAACAACAGCCCCGCGCUGACAGGCAACUCGCAGCCGCAGCACCAGGCGGCUGCUGCUGCGGCUCAGCAACAGCAGCAGUGCGGCGGCGGCGGCGCUACCAAGCCGGCGGUCUCCGGCAAGCAGGGCAAUGUGCUCCCGCUCUGGGGCAACGAGAAGACCAUGAACCUCAACCCCAUGAUCCUGACCAACAUCCUGUCGUCGCCUUACUUCAAAGUACAGCUCUACGAGCUCAAGACCUACCACGAGGUGGUGGACGAGAUCUACUUUAAGGAUUGACUCAGUCUUGCAGCGAGGCUCGGAGCAGCCCAGGGUCGCAGGUAGAGGUCACGCACGUUGAACCAUGGGAGAAAGGCAGCAGGAAAACAGCGGGCCAGACAGGGAUGUGCGGAGGGGUUCGAGGUGUUGGAACAGGAGGAAUUGUUUCUACAGCGUUUUGCCUGUUAUACAAAUUAUUUACCCUGAAGUUAACUCGAAAGCAAGUGAUGGGUCUUAUAACACACACAGACUCUCCAUAUAUUAGAGCACUUGGAUUUAUGUAUAUAAGAUAUACACAGCCCCCUACAGAUCUAUGGGACUGGUUUGAAUCCUUCCUUGAUGAUGAAGAGGUAUGUCAACAAGGGUAAUAAUUUGUUUUCUUCUGAUUACUCUCAUAUUUUUAUUAUCUUUUAUUUAUUGGUGGUUUAACGUCUUCAAGAACUUCCUGUAGUUAAAUUUAUUUCAGUGAGAUACUUUUGGAAUUAAUGUCCUUUUACUGAGACCUGAUGGCUUUUAUAUAUUUUAGGGUAAAUUUCUGAAAUUUUAUUUUCUUGUUUUAAAAUUGUUUAAAUGUGUUUGGUAACUAUUGGAAAGUUUUCUCUUCUUAAUUAUGUUCUGUGUAUUGUAUUGAUCCUGAAUUGUAUAGUUAAUAGUGACUUUUCAAGAUGGGGCAUGCUCAAGAUCGAGGUGAUAAUAAAAGACAUGCACAUAGAAUACUAAUUGUAGCUUUUUUUUCUUCUGGAACAUUUCAGUUCUUCACCCUCUAACUUCUUCCAAAUAUCAGUAUUCCCACUUGCAUAGAAGUGCAGAAUUGAAGAGCUGGGUGUUACAUAAAUAGGCUAAGUGUUUGGAUGACUUGUUCAAGGUGACAAAAUUUUAAUUCCAGCUUUCUGACUCCUAGUACACCACACAUACCUUUAAAAAAGAAAUUUUUUUAAAUUGUAAUUUGAGUCUCCCUAAUUUGAAAUCUGAAAUACUAAGUUAGAUUUAAAUCGUGUAUGAAUUGGCUGGGCGUGUGGCUCACACUUGUAAUCCCAACACUUUGAGAGUUCAAGACCAGCCUGAGCAAUAUAGUGAGACCUCAUCUCUACAAAAAAAAGUUUAAAAAUUAGCUGAGCAUAGAGGUAUGCAUCUUAGUCCCACCUACUUGGGAGGCUGGGGUGGGAGGAUCACUUGAGCCCAGGAGAUAGAAUUUGCUGUGAGCCAAGAUCAUUGCCACUGCAUUCCAGCCUGGGUAACAGAGUAAGACCCUUUCUCAACACAAAACAAAAUAUCAUAUAUGCAUUAAUUUACUUACAUGGUGAAGUCCAACAUCUCAAAAAUGAAAUGAUGAGCUGUAUUGUCCGUAUGUCUACCCACUCUGCUACUUUGUGUUUUAAGGUUCAUAAAGAAGACUUUUUGAGUGCUAUGUAUCAGUAGUCUAUUUACAGAGUUCAUCCAAAGAAUCUAUUGAAUUAAAGGAUGGUUCUAAUGGAAAUCUAUUGUGUUUUGUUAUUACAUGCACACCUAAAAAAAAA
rnacentral:sRNA from 1 species